rnacentral:rRNA from 1 species
CUGAUGGAGCACGCCGCGUGUGUGAUGAAGGCUUUCGGGUCGUAAAGCACUGUUGUAUGGGAAGAACAGCUAGAAUAGGAAAUGAUUUUAGUUUGACGGUACCAUACCAGAAAGGGACGGCUAAAUACGUGCCAGCAGCCGCGGUAAUACGUAUGUCCCGAGCGUUAUCCGGAUUUAUUGGGCGUAAAGCGAGCGCAGACGGUUUAUUAAGUCUGAUGUGAAAGCCCGGAGCUCAACUCCGGAAUGGCAUUGGAAACUGGUUAACUUGAGUGCAGUAGAGGUAAGUGGAACUCCAUGUGUAGCGGUGGAAUGCGUAGAUAUAUGGAAGAACACCAGUGGCGAAGGCGGCUUACUGGACUGCAACUGACGUUGAGGCUCGAAAGUGUGGGUAGCAAACAGGAUUAGAUACCCUGGUAGUCCACACCGUAAACGAUGAACACUAGGUGUUAGGAGGUUUCCGCCUCUUAGUGCCGAAGCUAACGCAUUAAGUGUUCCGCCUGGGGAGUACGACCGCAAGGUUGAAACUCAAAGGAAUUGACGGGGACCCGCACAAGCGGUGGAGCAUGUGGUUUAAUUCGAAGCAACGCGAAGAACCUUACCAGGUCUUGACAUCCUUUGAAGCUUUUAGAGAUAGAAGUGUUCUCUUCGGAGACAAAGUGACAGGUGGUGCAUGGUCGUCGUCAGCUCGUGUCGUGAGAUGUUGGGUUAAGUCCCGCAACGAGCGCAACCCUUAUUGUUAGUUGCCAGCAUUCAGAUGGGCACUCUAGCGAGACUGCCGGUGACAAACCGGAGGAAGGCGGGGACGACGUCAGAUCAUCAUGCCCCUUAUGACCUGGGCUACACACGUGCUACAAUGGCGUAUACAACGAGUUGCCAACCCGCGAGGGUGAGCUAAUCUCUUAAAGUACGUCUCAGUUCGGAUUGUAGUCUGCAACUCGACUACAUGAAGUCGGAAUCGCUAGUAAUCGCGGAUCAGCACGCCGCGCU